UACGUAGGGGGCAAGCGUUGUCCGGAUUUAUUGGGCGUAAAGAGCGUGUAGGCGGCCUGACAGGUCUGCUGUGAAAACUCGAGGCUCAACCUCGAGAUGUCGGCGGAAACCGUCUGGCUAGAGUCCGGAAGAGGAGAGUGGAAUUCCUGGUGUAGCGGUGAAAUGCGCAGAUAUCAGGAGGAACACCGGUGGCGAAGGCGGAUCUCUGGGCCAUUACUGACGCUGAGGAGCGAAAGCGUGGGGAGCGAACAGG
rnacentral:rRNA from 1 species